rnacentral:pre_miRNA from 2 species
UUACUAGGUCCGUGCUUCCUUACUUCCCAUAUAGUGUUUGUUUUAUGGAAUGUAAAGAAGUAUGGAGCCUGUAC